UAUACAGGUGUUGCAUGGCUGUCGUCAGCUCGUGUCGUGAGAUGUUCGGUUAAGUCGCUAACGAGCGCAACCCUCGUCGUAUGUUAUAUGUGUCAUACGAGACUGCCGGUAAAAAGCCGGAGGAAGGUGAGGAUGAUGUCAAGUCAGCAUGACCUUUAUAUCCAGGGCUACACACACGCUACAAUGGUCUGUACAAUGGGUAGCCAAGCCGCGAGGCGGAGCCAAUCCUGAAAGCAGGCCUCAGUUCAGAUUGCAGUCUGCAACUCGACUGCAUGAAGCCGGAGUUGCUAGUAACCGCAGGUCAGCAAUACUGCGGUGAAUACGUUCCCGGGUCUU
rnacentral:rRNA from 1 species